rnacentral:antisense_RNA from 15 species
AAUAAUGGUGGGGCGUAUGGGGGAGCUGAAAGGCUCGCCGGUUGGUUGAUCCGGUAGUUCCAACCCUGUACGUCUCACCACCCAA